rnacentral:rRNA from 1 species
AUUGAACGCUGGCGGCAGGCCUAACACAUGCAAGUCGAGCGGCAGCGGAAAGUAGCUUGCUACUUUGCCGGCGAGCGGCGGACGGGUGAGUAAUGUCUGGGGAUCUGCCUGAUGGAGGGGGAUAACUACUGGAAACGGUAGCUAAUACCGCCUAACGUCGCAAGACAAAAGCGGGGGACCUUCGGGCCUAGCGCCAUCAGCUGAACCCAGAUGGGAUUAGCUAGUAGGUGGGGUAAUGGCUCACCUAGGCGACGAUCCCUAGCUGGUCUGAGAGGAUGACCAGCCACACUGGAACUGAGACACGGUCCAGACUCCUACGGGAGGCAGCAGUGGGGAAUAUUGCACAAUGGGCGCAAGCCUGAUGCAGCCAUGCCGCGUGUAUGAAGAAGGCCUUCGGGUUGUAAAGUACUUUCAGCGAGGAGGAAGGCGAUAAGGUUAAUAACCUGACUGAUUGACGUUACUCGCAGAAGAAGCACCGGCUAACUCCGUG